rnacentral:pre_miRNA from 1 species
UUUAAGUACAUAUUCGAAUUUUUUUCAACGUUUAAUCGUCCGUCUUAUUUAUUUUUUUAUAAUUAGUAUUUUUUUAUUAUUAGAUGAUAGAACAUGUAUGAAUCACCUUUAUGCGUGACUUAUUUUUAAAAUUUUUUUAUAAAUUUUUCACAUAAGAUAGAUGGUUAAACGUUGGAUACGAAAAUCAUAACUAUAGUUAAA